GACGAACGCUGGCGGCGUGCUUAACACAUGCAAGUGGAGCGACGAACCAGGCUUCGGCCUGGGGCAGAGCCGCGAACGGGUGAGUAACACGUGGGUAACCUGCCCCGAUGACUGGGACAACCCGAGGAAACUCGGGCUAAUACCGGAUGUGCUGCUCUCGCUCAAGUGAGAGUAGGAAAGGAAGCUUCGGCCUCCGCAUCGGGAUGGGCCCGCGGCCCAUUAGCUGUUGGUGAGGUAACGGCUCACCAAGGCUUCGAUGGGUAGCUGGUCUGAGAGGACGAUCAGCCACACUGGGACUGAGACACGGCCCAGACUCCUACGGGAGGCAGCAGU
rnacentral:rRNA from 1 species